UAGGGAAUUUUCCACAAUGGGGGCAACCCUGAUGGAGCAACGCCGCGUGCAGGAUGAAUGCCUUUGGGUUGUAAACUGCUUUUAUAUGUGACGAUAAUGACGGUAGCAUAUGAAUAAGGAUCGGCUAACUCCGUGCCAGCAGCCGCGGUCAUACGGAGGAUCCAAGCGUUAUCCGGAAUUACUGGGCGUAAAGAGUUGCGUAGGUGGCAUAGUAAGCAAGUAGUGAAAGCAUGUGGCUCAACCAUAUACACAUUACUUGAACUGCUAAGCUAGAGUAUAGAAGAGGUAGCUGGAAUUUCUAGUGUAGGAGUGAAAUCCGUAGAUAUUAGAAGGAACACCGAUGGCGUAGGCAGGCUACUGGUCUAUUACUGACACUAAGGCACGAAAGCGUGGGGAGCGAACGGG
rnacentral:rRNA from 1 species